UGCCAGUACAUUUGCUCUCUGUGGACCCAAUUUUCUGACAUUGAGUCAUUGAGUAUAAAAUAACUUACAAUAUCUUUCUUUUUCACUUUCAGUGAAGUACUUUUCCCACACAAGCGCUACUUCUGUGGAGAAAGAUGUCAGAGAGCACUGUAAACCUGUAGAAUUUACUUUUCAUGUUCUAUCACCUUCAGCAGAGAUGGGAAUUUAGAGCCAUGUUUUGUUCCUUAGCCAGGUGUUCCAGUAAGGGUGCUUCUGGUGUAGAGAAUGCCCCUCCUUUCUCUCCAGAUACGUGGGAUUUAGCUAGAGAAUUGGUGGAGGUUUUUUUUUAAGAACACAAGUGAGAAUGAUAAGAAAAAAAGACCAAUCAUGGGCUGAGAAAACCUGGCAAAGAAGGGGAUCACCUUCAGAGAUCUUGGCAGGGCUUGGGUCUAUGCUCUUUGUUUAGCUUUGCCAAGGUUUGGGCAGUUAUGGGCAAGCCCAGAAGAUCUUUCCCUUUGUGCAGAAAGAAUGUCAGCCACCUCUUUAAACCCUUCAAGAAAUAUGGGUAUCACAGAGGAAGAGAACUACAAUACCAGGAACCUGAGUAUAUCUAUAAAGAAUACUUGUUAGAAACCUGUUGCUGCCUGUUCCGAGCUUCCCUUCCCCCUCCCCAAGACAAGCCAGGACUUGCCUCUGCCAUGUGCUCUGAACUCCUUCGUUCCAAGAGUGGGCAAAACCAAAUGUACCUCAAACUCUUGAGCAGUGUCUGACUGGCCGCUCACCCCGGGUCCGCCCCCAGUCCUCCCCUUUCCCCUUCUCCCAAUAAAAGAAGGGCCCCAGAGGGGGCCCCGCGCUCUUUGGCUUUGCAUCCCUUUUACGAACGUCUGUGUGCUUCUGUCUCUGUUUGAAAGCUUCUAAUUGCAGGAAUUAGGCAAACUGAAGACUAUAUUUCUCCCUCUUUGCUUCUACUGGUGGUAUCAGCUUUGCAGCUACCAUUUGCCGCUUUCAGAGCUACUGAAAUGCUGGAUUGCCCGUGCUACCUCUCUAGGCUGCCCGAGGCUUUCUAAGGCAUUGAACUAUGAGCCUAGCCAGUAAAAAGCUGUGAGAAUUCCACAGAAACCCCUUACUGUUUGUUUAGAAUAUAUGGAAAAAGCAAAAUUUAGGUGCCUAAUGUGGGCAUGAAUUGGAAUUUAGGUGUUUGAAUCCAAAACUGAAAAUUUUCAAACCCCUGUAUUACUUGCUUUAUCCUGCAACCUGAGGUGUCUUAGUACUUAGCCCUCCUCUUCAAAGUUUGUGUCUGAAUCUUCACUUUUUGAAUGUUUCCAGGUGCAUCCAAUUUUCCUCAAGGUUGAAUUUUCCAAGGAUAUGGGAGAAAAAAAAAGGCAAAUUAGAUGGUAGCAUGUAGGCAUUGAAGUACAAGGCAGUAAAAACAAUGGAGAUGUAACAACAGCAGCUCACAUGUCUAAGCAAUUAUGAGUCGACACACACCUUUAUUUAUUUACUAGCAAAGAUAAAAUGAAAACUAAAACUAUCCCAUAACUGAGCAUAGCCAAAAGCAUUGAUACAUGGACUGAGCUGCAAACUCUCUUGGUUGUACCACCUACAAAGGGGCUUGGGAUUCACAAACAAGUUUUCCCUGAAUCUAAGAUCCUGAAAGUUUGACUUUGGUCAAACCAUGGAUAUUUCUGUGCAAAAAUGAGGAUGGGGGAGGACAUUCUGUUUCUGCUGUUGAGACAGAGUGUCUCUGCAGCGGUGAAGGUUAGAUGAACACAGCCUAAGGAACAGUAAGCAAAGGAAACAGUGACAAAUUUUGGUCCAGGAAAGGUAGUGGUGGGAGCGCUACUUUUCAGUUCCCACUCCCAACACUGAAUAUAUUAUUUCUUUAGCUGCUGUUUAAUAUGAAAUGCUGACAUACUUGGACUAUUCUUCAUCCCAGACAGAUGAUGAACAAUAAGCUAGUAAAUUGUCACAUACCUUCUUAUGAUCACCUUCUGAUUUACUGGGCAAUGCAUUUUUAUCCCCGCAUUUCAGGCUGGUGCAGCUUCUGAAAAACAAAAAGGUGGGGGAAGGGGGGCAGAAAGCCCAGUUUCCAAGAUAUCCUGCAUCCUUCUGUUUCCAUAUCUCUUCAAGCAGAGAAGGAAAUUCCCCUGUGUGCUGGACAUGCUGGACAGGCAGCCUAGUCAAGGAGGCUUUUAUACUCAAAAGAGAUUUCCAUUCCUUCCACAUUCUACAAAGAGAAGGUUCUAGGAUGUGGAUUCUGAUGAAAAAGACCUAAGUGAAGAGACAGAUUAGAUGCAAAAAAUUAAUGCUGACAGUUUAUUAACUGGACACAUUUAGG
ensembl:lncRNA